GUCUAUGGCCAUACCACCCUGAACGCGCUCGAUCUCGUCUGAUCUCGGAAGCUAAGCAGGGUCGAGCCUGGUUAGUACUUGGAUGGGAGAAUAGGGUCACCAGGAGGCACGGUUG
ensembl:rRNA 5S_rRNA 5S ribosomal RNA